rnacentral:rRNA from 1 species
UACGGAGGAUCCGAGCGUUAUCCGGAUUUAUUGGGUUUAAAGGGAGCGUAGGUGGAUUGUUAAGUCAGUUGUGAAAGUUUGCGGCUCAACCGUAAAAUUGCAGUUGAAACUGGCAGUCUUGAGUACAGUAGAGGUGGGCGGAAUUCGUGGUGUAGCGGUGAAAUGCUUAGAUAUCACGAAGAACUCCGAUCGCGAAGGCAGCUCACUGGACUGCAACUGACACUGAGGCUCGAAAGUGUGGGUAUCAAACAGG